rnacentral:lncRNA from 1 species
UAAAAAAAAAUUAAAAAAUUAGCCAGGUGUGGUGGCGGGCACCUGUAGUCCCAGCUACUUGGGAGGCUGAAGCAGAAUGGCAUGAACCCAGGAGUUGGAGCUUGCAGUGAGCCGAGAUGGCGCCACUGCACUCCAGCUGGGUGAGAGUGUGAGACUCCGUCUCAAAAAAAAAAACACACACAAAUUAGCACAAACUUGAUGACUCAACACACAUUUGUGAUCUUACACUUACAGAUCAGAAGUCAGACAAGGGUCUCCCUGGGCUAAAAUUGAGGUGCCGGCAGGGCUGGGUUCGUUUCUGGAAGCCCUGGGGCAGAUGGAUCCACUUGCUUGCUCAUUCACAGAAUUGGCAGAAUUCAGUUCCUUGCAGGGAGGGGUAGGACUGACUGCAGUCACAUUCCCUUGUGGGCUCUUGGCUGGGGGCCGUUUCCAACUCCUGGAAGCCACCUGCAGUCCUUGACUCACAGCCCCUUCUUCCAUCCUCAGAGUCAUCAACAGUGGGUGGAGUCCCUCUCACACUUAGACUCUUUCCUUCCUCUUCUUUCUGGCAUCUCUGGCUCCCUCAUCUGCCUUUUGCUUUCAAGGACUCAUGUGAUUAGAUUGGGCCCACCUGGAUAAUCCAGGCUGUUCUCUCCUUUCAAGGUCCUUAAUUUUAAUCACAUCUGCAAAGUCUCCUUUGCCACAUAAGGUAACAUAUUCACAGGUCUUGGGGGUUUGGGCAUGGAUGUAUUUGGGGAGCCAUUAUUCUACCCACUGGGGUGGAGAGGUACAAGAAUGUGAAAUCCCCAUCUUUCAGAAUAGGAAGUCAUCAGACAAUGCCUACAACAGAAAAUUCCAGGAAGAGCAGCAUCAACAUUGGUAUAGGCUCUGCGGAUGGCCACGGGAUCUGUGUGGCUCCUGAGUCUUUCCAGUUCUCACCCCCAGCUGUUAUACAUCCUAGCUCCUCCACUGGGCUUCCCUUUAGCUGUCACUGACCCUUCCUCCCGCUAGUAACCCCACUCAGCACUCUCACAGCACCUCACCCAUCCCCCAUUACCACUCCCCAUUAUAUUGAAUUCAUACUAGUCCACCUGCUGGAGGAAGCUUAUGUGUCAAAUGGAAACAAGCAGUGG